CUCUCCAGGCAACUCCUCUCCAUCACCUGCCUCUACCGACCUGCAGACUGCUCGGACCCUACCCUUCGCUCAGUUCCUGAGAGCUGGAUGUAAAUACUGACACCCUGAGUCCUCAGGAGCCUUCUGGAAGCUCCAGCAAGCCAGGAGUCAGGAUCCCAGCAGGGCAGGUGGGAAGCCACCAAGACGUCUGAUUUCCAGUCACUGUGCAGGGUGUGUGUGUGGUACUGGGGACCCAGGCCCUGUCCACCAGGACUCAUGGUCACCCGGGGAGUGGGGAGAACACGGACGCAGAACUGCC
rnacentral:lncRNA from 1 species